AAAUCAAAAGAAUAGACCGAGAUAGGGUUGAGUGUUGUUCCAGUUUGGAACAAGAGUCCACUAUUAAAGAACGUGGACUCCAACGUCAAAGGGCGAAAAACCGUCUAUCAGGGCGAUGGCCCACUACGUGAACCAUCACCCUAAUCAAGUUUUUUGGGGUCGAGGUGCCGUAAAGCACUAAAUCGGAACCCUAAAGGGAGCCCCCGAUUUAGAGCUUGACGGGGAAAGCCGGCGAACGUGGCGAGAAAGGAAGGGAAGAAAGCGAAAGGAGCGGGCGCUAGGGCGCUGGCAAGUGUAGCGGUCACGCUGCGCGUAACCACCACACCCGCCGCGCUUAAUGCGCCGCUACAGGGCGCGUCCAUUCGCCAUUCAGGCUGCGCAACUGUUGGGAAGGGCGAUCGGUGCGGGCCUCUUCGCUAUUACGCCAGCUGGCGAAAGGGGGAUGUGCUGCAAGGCGAUUAAGUUGGGUAACGCCAGGGUUUUCCCAGUCACGACGUUGUAAAACGACGGCCAGUGAAUUGUAAUACGACUCACUAUAGGGCGAAUUGGGCCCGACGUCGCAUGCUCCCGGCCGCCAUGGCCGCGGGAUUUACCUUGUUACGACUUCACCCCA
rnacentral:rRNA from 1 species